rnacentral:rRNA from 1 species
CUGGAACUGAGACACGGUCCAGACACCUACGGGUGGCAGCAGUCGAGAAAUUCACAAUGGGGGAAACCCUGAUGGUGCGACGCCGCGUGGGGGAAUGAAGGUCUUCGGAUUGUAAACCCCUGUCAUGUGGGAGCAAAUUAAAAAGAUAGUACCACAAGAGGAAGAGACGGCUAACUCUGUGCCAGCAGCCGCGGUAAUACAGAGGUCUCAAGCGUUGUUCGGAAUCACUGGGCGUAAAGCGUGCGUAGGCUGUUUCGUAAGUCGUGUGUGAAAGGCGCGGGCUCAACCCGCGGACGGCACAUGAUACUGCGAGACUAGAGUAAUGGAGGGGGAACCGGAAUUCUCGGUGUAGCAGUGAAAUGCGUAGAUAUCGAGAGGAACACUCGUGGCGAAGGCGGGUUCCUGGACAUUAACUGACGCUGAGGCACGAAGGCCAGGGGAGCGAAAGGGAUUAGAUACCCCUGUAGUCCUGGCAGUAAACGGUGCACGCUUGGUGUGCGGGGAAUCGACCCCCUGCGUGCCGGAGCUAACGCGUUAAGCGUGCCGCCUGGGGAGUACGGUCGCAAGAUUAAAACUCAAAGAAAUUGACGGGGACCCGCACAAGCGGUGGAGUAUGUGGCUUAAUUCGAUGCAACGCGAAGAACCUUACCUGGGCUUGACAUGUAAUGAACAACAUGUGAAAGCAUGCGACUCUUCGGAGGCGUUACACAGGUGCUGCAUGGCCGUCGUCAGCUCGUGUCGUGAGAUGUUUGGUUAAGUCCAGCAACGAGCGCAACCCCUGUUGCCAGUUACCAGCACGUGAAGGUGGGGACUCUGGCGAGACUGCCCAGAUCAACUGGGAGGAAGGUGGGGACGACGUCAGGUCAGUAUGGCCCUUAUGCCCAGGGCUGCACACGUACUACAAUGCCCAGUACAGAGGGGGCCGAAGCCGCGAGGCGGAGGAAAUCCUGAAAACUGGGCCCAGUUCGGACUGUAGGCUGCAACCCGCCUACACGAAGCCGGAAUCGCUAGUAAUGGCGCAUCAGCUACGGCGCCGUGAAUACGUUCCCGGGUCUUGUACACACCGCCCGUCACAUCAUGGAAGCCGGUCGCACCCGAAGUAUCUGAAGCCAACCGCAAGGAGGCAGGGUCCUAAGGUGAGACUGGUAACUGGGAUGAAGUCGUAACAAGGUAGCCGUAGGGGAACCUGCGGCUG